ACCUAAACCCGGUUGCAGUGAAAAUCCUUUUUAAAACCUAAAAGGUUUAAAAGAUUGAAACGGAAAACGGGACUGAUG
rnacentral:sRNA from 1 species